GACGGAACACAGGUGCUGCAUGGCUGUCGUCAGCUCGUGUCGUGAGAUGUUGGGUUAAGUCCCGCAACGAGCGCAACCCUUGUCAUUAGUUGCUACGAAAGGGCACUCUAAUGAGACUGCCGGUGACAAACCGGAGGAAGGUGGGGAUGACGUCAAGUCCUCAUGGCCCUUAUGGGUAGGGCUUCACACGUCAUACAAUGGUCGGUACAGAGGGCUGCCAACCCGCAAGGGGGAGCCAAUCCUUUAAAACCGAUCGUAGUCCGGAUUGAGGUCUGCAACUCGACCUCAUGAAGUCGGAAUCGCUAGUAAUCGCGGAUCAGCAUGUCGCGGUGAAUACGUUCCCGGGUCUU
rnacentral:rRNA from 1 species